rnacentral:tRNA from 1 species
GCCGGAGUGGUGAAACUGGUAGACGCACUGGACUCAAAAUCCAGCGAGGGCGACCUCGUGUCGGUUCGACCCCGACCUCCGGCACCA